GAUGAACGCUGGCGGCGUGCCUAAUACAUGCAAGUCGAGCGAACGGACGAGAAGCUUGCUUCUCUGAUGUUAGCGGCGGACGGGUGAGUAACACGUGGAUAACCUACCUAUAAGACUGGGAUAACUUCGGGAAACCGGAGCUAAUACCGGAUAAUAUUUUGAACCGCAUGGUUCAAAAGUGAAAGACGGUCUUGCUGUCACUUAUAGAUGGAUCCGCGCUGCAUUAGCUAGUUGGUAAGGUAACGGCUUACCAAGGCAACGAUGCAUAGCCGAACUGAGAGGGUGAUCGGCCACACUGGAACUGAGACACGGUCAAGACUCCUACGGGAGGCAGCAGUAGGGAAUCUUCCGCAAUGGGCGAAAGCCUGACGGAGCAACGCCGCGUGAGUGAUGAAGGUCUUCGGAUCGUAAAACUCUGUUAUUAGGGAAGAACAUAUGUGUAAGUAACUGUGCACAUCUUGACGGUACCUAAUCAGAAAGCCACGGCUAACUACGUG
rnacentral:rRNA from 1 species